GAGAUUUUCUGUGAUUGUUUAUAUAUAAUUAUGUUUUGGUGAAUACUUUUUUCAUUUAUUAUUAAGUUAAAAUGAUAAAGUGUUAUGUGCCAAAUUGUUAUAACCCCAAAUAUAAUAAAAAAAUGCAUGUUUUUCCGGCAUCUAAUUAUCAGAGGGCGAAUAAUCUUUUAAUGGAUGACCUAACUCUUCGGUUUGUGGCACAAAUCAACGAUAAUUUGAAAUCGAAACCAAAUAGAAGUGUCUCCUUUACGGCAAUAACAAAAUAGUUUUCAAGUCACUGGAGAAUGCUCUGAUACAGAACCAGAAGAACAAUCUGCAACUCCAAGGACAAAGCCAAGAGAUGGAAGCCUAAACACCUUGAAAAAGAUUUUUGCAGCACCUCUAAGAUUGUGAAGUGCAGGUUAAAAGUCACCUAUUCUGACACCAGUUUUCCGAAAAGAAGUCCUUGAUGGUAGCUGCAAAUUGCCGCAGAAUGCAAUGAUUAGGCGUAGGAGUGCCUUAACACCCAGAAGAUGUAUGAUACAUCAAAUUUUGUUUCGGGAUUAAAAUGCAAUGCAAUAAUUUAAAGGAUAAAUUCCAACAGAGUAUACAAUGUUCUGAGAAGUUUUCAAAUAUUCCGGAAACUUAAAAUGUAAGGUCAAGAAUUUUGAUAAUGUCUCAAUUAAGAGAGCAUACUCAAAGACCAGACAGUUUAUAAAGCGCAAGGGUUUAGUUAUAGUUUUAACUAAACCUCCUUGCAAUAAAAACUGGAUUAAAACG